rnacentral:hammerhead_ribozyme from 1 species
AUCCUAUUGAGGAGUCCCAGAAUAAGACGAAACAGCCGUCCAGUAC